rnacentral:rRNA from 1 species
GACAGCAGUCGCCGCGGUAAUACAGAGGAUGCAAGCGUUAUCCGGAAUGAUUGGGCGUAAAGUGUCUGUAGGUGGCUUUUCAAGUCCGCCGUCAAAUCCCAGGGCUCAACCCUGGACAGGCGGUGGAAACUACCAAGCUGGAGUACGGUAGGGGCAGAGGGAAUUUCCAGUGGAGCGGUGAAAUGCGUUGAGAUCGAAAAGAACACCAACAGCGAAAGCACUCUGCUGGGACGACACUAACACUAAGAGACGAAAGCUAGGGGAGCAAAUGGGAUUAGAUACCCCCGUAGUCCCUGUCUCUUAUAC